rnacentral:lncRNA from 1 species
GGCGAUCUCUCGAUCUCAAUCUCAAGAGAUCGAGAAGAAAAACAUUGAUCACUCGAUCUCUCAAUCUCCAAUCUCUUCUUAUCAUUCUCUUAUUCACCAUCGAUCUCUCAAUCUCCAAUCUCUUCUUCCUCAUCAACCUUCCACAUCGAUCACAAGAGAAAAAGUUAUCUUCAAAGUUCAAAUCUCAAGAGAGAGGCGAAGUUCUCUUUAGACGAAAUUGGAGUUUUUAGUUUUGCUUCGCACUUUCUCUCCUUAAGGUAUUUCGAAUUGAACGAUUGUUUAUGAUUUUCAAUUGAUUUCCAGCUUCAUUCUUCUCUCAAUUGUUUAUGAUUGUUUAUGACUUAGGGUUCUAAAUCAAAGGUUUUAUCAAUCUCUAUUGUUUAUGUAAAUUUUUGUUGAUCGAAUUUCACUGAUUGCAGUUUAUUGACUUAUAAAUGUGAUUGAGAUUGUUAGGUUUAAUGGUCAUUAUACAUAUGAUUUGAUAUGGUUAGGUUCAAUGAUCAACAAAUGUUCCUAAAACCUGGAUCCAAAUUCCAAAUACUGUGCAUUUGCCUCAUAAAUACCUUUUUUUCUAGUCACAAUUUUAUUCAAAACACAGUUGUUAAAUGCCUGGUGCGCUGUUUUUUGUCCCACGAUGGUCCUUGAUCUGCCUAGUGCGCUGUUUCAAUUGUACAUUUGUCUUCAUCAAAACUGCUAUAUAUCACCAUCAUCACAAGGAGAGUAGUAAUAUUGCACAUGUCUGCCUUACUUAGCUGAUUGAUUGAGAUUAGUUUCUAGAAAUCAGUAUACUUAUGAAGUUUGAGAUGGUUCAAGGAAUGUAUAUGUAGACUAGUAUUUACAAGUGUCUGUUUCAUGAGUAAGAGAGUGAUCUUCUAGAACUAGGCCCUGAACCCAAUAUACAAUGACCUGCCUUUAUUAGUUUUCUUUUGAUUUGUAGUAGUCUUAUUCUUUCAUCUGAUGCAACAUUCAGAUUUAGAAUUCCAAGAACCGCUUUGGAAAUAGAAGAUUUGGGCCCUGUUCGGUUGUAGAAAAAUGAGCUUGUUUUCCAAAAAAUGUUUUUCGUAGAUAACAAAAAACAGAGAACCUGUUCGCUUGUACUUCCUUUUCAGAUUUUAGAAAUGGGUUUUCAGUUUUCUUAAAAGUUUCCAUUUUCUGUUUUGGCUUAUAGACGGAAAACUCUAAAACGACAUUUUCUAAAUUAGAAAACACGAGUUAAGGUUAAGUCCUCCAUCAAAAUAUAUAUCUCUCGUCGCUCUCCGAAGGUUCUCUACUAUGUUUGAAAGCCAUCAUAUGACCAAAAAUCACGCAUUGAAGUUAUACACCUGAUGUUUCUAAUUAAAUCUUGUUCUUUCAAAUGCUGAAAUAAUAAGUCACCCAUUUGAUUUUGCAAUCUUUAGCAAUGAAAUAAAUAAUUCUUAUGUAGAAUCUAGCCUAUUGAUGACAAAUUAGAAAUUUUUUAAAUUAAAUUGCUUGUUAUAUUUUUGUCUGAUAUGAUUAUUUAUGUCAUUUAUAUGCAUGUAUGACUAUUUCUUAUUGUUUUUGUGAAAUUCAUCGUUUUAUUGGUAGAGAAUUUUGUUUGUUUGAAUAUUGGUUUUACGUGGUAAAAGCUACAAAUUUACCUCAUAUUAAAGUUUACACUAUUUAUAUGUAUGUAGAUUCAUCAUGGAGAGGCUUAAUUCUAUUGACAAAAGUUGGAUACCAUUAGAUGUCAAUGACUCGCAUUUUAUUGGAGGUCUUGAAUUGUUU